rnacentral:rRNA from 1 species
AGUGAACGCUGGCGGUAGGCCUAACACAUGCAAGUCGAACGGCAGCACAGUAAGAGCUUGCUCUUACGGGUGGCGAGUGGCGGACGGGUGAGGAAUACAUCGGAAUCUACUUUUUCGUGGGGGAUAACGUAGGGAAACUUACGCUAAUACCGCAUACGACCUACGGGUGAAAGCAGGGGAUCUUCGGACCUUGCGCGAUUGAAUGAGCCGAUGUCGAAUUAGCUAGUUGGCGGGGUAAAGGCCCACCAAGGCGACGAUCCGUAGCUGGUCUGAGAGGAUGAUCAGCCACACUGGAACUGAGACACGGUCCAGACUCCUACGGGAGGCAGCAGUGGGGAAUAUUGGACAAUGGGCGCAAGCCUGAUCCAGCCAUACCGCAUGGGUGAAGAAGGCCUUCGGGUUGUAAAGCCCUUUUGUUGGGAAAGAAAAGCAGCAGGUUAAUACCCCGCUGUUCUGACGGUACCCAAAGAAUAAGCACCGGCUAACUUCGUG